rnacentral:rRNA from 1 species
GACGAACGCUGGCGGCGUGCUUAACACAUGCAAGUCGAACGGAAAGGCCCUGCUUUUGUGGGGUGCUCGAGUGGCGAACGGGUGAGUAACACGUGAGUAACCUGCCCUUGACUUUGGGAUAACUUCAGGAAACUGGGGCUAAUACCGGAUAGGAGCUCCUGCUGCAUGGUGGGGGUUGGAAAGUUUCGGCGGUUGGGGAUGGACUCGAGGGUUAUCAGCUUGUUGGGGGGGUAGUGGCUUACCAAGGCUUUGACGGGUAGCCGGCCUGAGAGGGGGGCCGGCCUCAUUGGGACUGAGAGACGGCCCAGACUCCUACGGGAGGCAGCAGUGGGGAAUAUUGCACAGUGGGCGGAAGCCUGAUGCAGCAACGCCGCGUGCGGGAUGACGGCCUUCGGGUUGUAAACCGCUUUCGCCUGUGACGAAGCGUGAGUGACGGUAAUGGGUAAAGAAGCACCGGCUAACUACGUG